rnacentral:rRNA from 1 species
GAGUUUGAUCGUGGCUCAGAUUGAACGCUGGCGGCAUGCCCUACACAUGCAAGUCGAACGGCAGCAUGAUCUAGCUUGCUAGAUUGAUGGCGAGUGGCGAACGGGUGAGUAAUACAUCGGAACGUGCCCUGUAGUGGGGGAUAACUAGUCGAAAGAUUAGCUAAUACCGCAUACGACCUGAGGGUGAAAGUGGGGGACCGCAAGGCCUCAUGCUAUAGGAGCGGCCGAUGUCUGAUUAGCUAGUUGGUGGGGUAAAGGCCCACCAAGGCGACGAUCAGUAGCUGGUCUGAGAGGACGAUCAGCCACACUGGGACUGAGACACGGCCCAGACUCCUACGGGAGGCAGCAGUGGGGAAUUUUGGACAAUGGGCGAAAGCCUGAUCCAGCAAUGCCGCGUGUGUGAAGAAGGCCU